rnacentral:rRNA from 1 species
GAUGAACGCUGGCGGCGUGCCUAAUACAUGCAAGUCGAGCGAAUGGAUUAAGAGCUUGCUCUUAUGAAGUUAGCGGCGGACGGGUGAGUAACACGUGGAUAACCUGCCCAUAAGACUGGGAUAACUCCGGGAAACCGGGGCUAAUACCGGAUAACAUUUUGAACCGCAUGGUUCGAAAUUGAAAGGCGGCUUCGGCUGUCACUUAUGGACGGACCCGCGUCGCAUUAGCUAGUUGGUGAGGUAACGGCUCACCAAGGCAACGAUGCGUAGCCGACCUGAGAGGGUGAUCGGCCACACUGGGACUGAGACACGGCCCAGACUCCUACGGGAGGCAGCAGUAGGGAAUCUUCCGCAAUGGACGAAAGUCUGACGGAGCAACGCCGCGUGAGUGAUGAAGGCUUUCGGGUCGUAAAACUCUGUUGUUAGGGAAGAACAAGUGCUAGUUGAAUAAGCUGGCACCUUGACGGUACCUAACCAGAAAGCCACGGCUAACUACGUGCCAGCAGCCGCAGUAA